GGGUUGUGAGGUUAAGCGACUAAGCGUACACGGUGGAUGCCCUGGCAGUCAGAGGCGAUGAAGGACGUGCUAAUCUGCGAUAAGCGUCGGUGAGGUGAUAUGAACCGUUAUAACCGGCGAUUUCCGAAUGGGGAAACCCAGUGUGUUUCGACACACUAUCAUUAACUGAAUCCAUAGGUUAAUGAGGCGAACCGGGGGAACUGAAACAUCUAAGUACCCCGAGGAAAAGAAAUCAACCGAGAUUCCCCCAGUAGCGGCGAGCGAACGGGGAGGAGCCCAGAGCCUGAAUCAGUGUGUGUGUUAGUGGAAGCGUCUGGAAAGGCGUGCGAUACAGGGUGACAGCCCCGUACACAAAAAUGCACAUAUUGUGAGCUCGAUGAGUAGGGCGGGACACGUGGUAUCCUGUCUGAAUAUGGGGGGACCAUCCUCCAAGGCUAAAUACUCCUGACUGACCGAUAGUGAACCAGUACCGUGAGGGAAAGGCGAAAAGAACCCCGGCGAGGGGAGUGAAAAAGAACCUGAAACCGUGUACGUACAAGCAGUGGGAGCCUCUUUAUGGGGUGACUGCGUACCUUUUGUAUAAUGGGUCAGCGACUUAUAUUCUGUAGCAAGGUUAACCGAAUAGGGGAGCCGAAGGGAAACCGAGUCUUAACUGGGCGUUAAGUUGCAGGGUAUAGACCCGAAACCCGGUGAUCUAGCCAUGGGCAGGUUGAAGGUUGGGUAACACUAACUGGAGGACCGAACCGACUAAUGUUGAAAAAUUAGCGGAUGACUUGUGGCUGGGGGUGAAAGGCCAAUCAAACCGGGAGAUAGCUGGUUCUCCCCGAAAGCUAUUUAGGUAGCGCCUCGUGAAUUCAUCUCCGGGGGUAGAGCACUGUUUCGGCAAGGGGGUCAUCCCGACUUACCAACCCGAUGCAAACUGCGAAUACCGGAGAAUGUUAUCACGGGAGACACACGGCGGGUGCUAACGUCCGUCGUGAAGAGGGAAACAACCCAGACCGCCAGCUAAGGUCCCAAAGUCAUGGUUAAGUGGGAAACGAUGUGGGAAGGCCCAGACAGCCAGGAUGUUGGCUUAGAAGCAGCCAUCAUUUAAAGAAAGCGUAAUAGCUCACUGGUCGAGUCGGCCUGCGCGGAAGAUGUAACGGGGCUAAACCAUGCACCGAAGCUGCGGCAGCGACACUAUGUGUUGUUGGGUAGGGGAGCGUUCUGUAAGCCUGUGAAGGUGGCCUGUGAGGGUUGCUGGAGGUAUCAGAAGUGCGAAUGCUGACAUAAGUAACGAUAAAGCGGGUGAAAAGCCCGCUCGCCGGAAGACCAAGGGUUCCUGUCCAACGUUAAUCGGGGCAGGGUGAGUCGACCCCUAAGGCGAGGCCGAAAGGCGUAGUCGAUGGGAAACAGGUUAAUAUUCCUGUACUUGGUGUUACUGCGAAGGGGGGACGGAGAAGGCUAUGUUGGCCGGGCGACGGUUGUCCCGGUUUAAGCGUGUAGGCUGGUUUUCCAGGCAAAUCCGGAAAACCAAGGCUGAGGCGUGAUGACGA
rnacentral:rRNA from 1 species